rnacentral:lncRNA from 1 species
AAUAAUUGAUCAGAAAUGUAAAUUCCCCAACCUGGAGUUAUAGACUGUUGGAACAAUCCUCUUCAAGGACAUUUACCUCUAGUGCAAAUUUUCCUUGCUCUGCUUUGCCAACAGGGGUGUAAACACGGACACACACACCAUCUUUUGACCUUGUUUCUACAAAGUCAUAUUCACCCACAACAAAUGCCACCAGAUAUGUAGACAUAACAGGUGUGCGAGCAAACUUCACUUCCACUAAGUUUUCAUCAUCAGGGUAUGGUUUCCUGUCAAUGACAUUCUUAAAGGAAAACAGAAACAGAAAACAAGAAAAAUUUAAGGAGAUUUUUAUUGGUAUUUUCGAGUAAAUACUAUGCAAAAACCUAUAGGCAUAACUACUUUUUUCCUUUCCUUUUCUUAGAAUAAUAUUUUAAUCAAAUUUAUCAGUGUUUUUUAUAUUAUGAAGGUCUUUGCUCUUAGAAGAAGAUUUUCUUUCAGUGGGAUCAUGGUGGUGCACACCUUUAGUCCCAGCACUCAGAAGACAGAGGCAGAGAGAGAGUUCAAGGCCAGCCUGGUCUACAGAGCGAGUUCCAGGACAGUCACAGCUACACAGAGAAACCCGGUCUCAAAACCAAACAAACAAGUUCUUUUCUUCUUCUUUCCUUUGUUGAAACAAGGUCUUAGUAACGAUGUGCACUUCGUUGUUGUAGAUCUUGC